UACGGGGGGGGUAAGCGUUGUUCGGAAUUACUGGGCGUAAAGGGCUCGUAGGCGGCCAACUAAGUCAUACGUGAAAUCCCUCAGCUUAACUGGGGAACUGCGUGUGAUACUGGAUGGCUUGGAUUUGGGAGAGGGAUGCGGAAUUCCAGGUGUAGCGGUGAAAUGCGUAGAUAUCCAGCGGAACUCCGGUGGCGAAGGCGGCCUGCUGGACCCUCACUGACGCUGAGGCGCGAAAGCCAGGGGAGCGAACGGG
rnacentral:rRNA from 1 species